GCAUCGGUGGUUCAGCGGUAGAAUGCUUGCCUGCCACGCGGGUGGCCCGGGUUCGAUUCCCGGCCGAUGCA
rnacentral:tRNA from 1 species